AACAAACUGGGAUUAGAUACCCCACUAUGCCUAACCGUAAACUUUAAUUUACACCCAUUAUCGCCCGGGAACUACGAGCCAAGCUUAAAACCCAAAGGACUUGACGGUACCCCAAAUCCACCUAGAGGAGCCUGUCCUGUAAUCGAUAACCCCCGUUUAACCUCACCACUUCUUGUCUAUCAGCCUGUAUACCUCCGUCGCCAGCUUACCGCAUGAGCGUUUUAAGUAAGCCCAAUGCCCAUACGCCAACACGUCAGGUCAAGGUGCAGCUAAUGAAAUGGGAAGAGAUGGGCUACACUUUCUAUUUUAGAAAAAACGAAAGACUACCUAUGAAACCUAGUCAGAAGGAGGAUUUAGUAGUAAAAAGAAAUCAGAGCGUUCUUUUUAAUCUGGCACUGGGGUG
rnacentral:rRNA from 1 species